rnacentral:rRNA from 1 species
GUAGUUUGCACAACUCGCACCGGGAGCGCGGCUCGUCCACGUCCGUAAAACACCCAA